UAGCGGAGGGUGCGAGCGUUGUCCGGAAUCACUGGGCGUAAAGGGCGCGUAGGCGGUGCGGAUAAGUCACCUGUGAAAUCUCCUGGCUCAACUGGGAGUCUGCAGGCGAAACUGCCGUGCUGGAGUGUGGGAGAGGCGAGUGGAAUUCCUGGUGUAGCGGUGGAAUGCGCAGAUAUCAGGAGGAACACCGAUGGCGAAAGGCAGCUCGCUGGGACGGUACUGACGCUGAGGCGCGAAAGCGUGGGGAGCGAACAGG
rnacentral:rRNA from 1 species